ensembl:lncRNA
AGUUGGACCUUGAUGCUGUGACAACGGACAAGUCUUCUUCCUCUGUCCUUUUCCCCUGCCUCUGUUCAGCCAUGAGCGUGGAAGAGCCAGACCGCAAGGCUUUGAGCAGGUUUUGCGCCUGGGCACGGCAAUCCGGGGCAGAAAGUCAUCUACCAUUAUAGAAUGACUAUCAGAAAGCCCAGUUUAAAUGUAUUGUUUAUUAGUUGUGGUUAGCCUACUAAUCCCCCGUCUAUAGCCAGGAAGGCUUGCAGACACACCCUCAACAUAUUCCCAAACAUACCUUUUGGAUAUUUGAGCCUUUGUCUAUCUAAUUAUUUGACUUUAAGAUGAAAGCUGCUUUCUAAGGUGCUAGCUAUGCUUACAUUACUUUACGACCUGCCACAUUUGAGAUGCACACGUUUGAGAUGCACACUGAACAGUCACUUAAUA